GCGUGUCGUCGAGGUCUGCUCGGUUCAGUUCACGGAGCAGAGCAGAGGAACUCAUCAGAUGGUGAUCGUUGGAACCAAGAAGAAAGGUACAUGUCGUCAGCUUGAUUGAUUACCGAUGAGGAGGCAGUCGAAGGGGGAGGUGACGGGGGACUGGAACGCCAUGGCCGGAGAGCUAGCUGCGAGGAGCAGAGGAGCCUCUUCAAACUUGAGAAGAGUUGGGGUGAUUUUGAUGUGCAGAGCGAGGGAGCGAGGGAAGACGGGCGAUGGUCGGGGCGUUUAAAUAGAGCUGGAGCAGAGCAGGUGAGCGCAAGAAGAAAAAGGAGGGUGUGGAUGACAGGGAAUUUUGGUGCGGUGACGCGUGCAUGUGGGUGAGGUGGCUUUCCGAUUCUGAUCGGCUGUGUUCCGGGGAAGCGGCUCGUGUUCCUCGCGUCCGCGUCGCGGAGCUCACACGCGUCUCCGUGGCCGGAAUGGGUUGGGACGUCGGUCAGUCG
rnacentral:lncRNA from 1 species